GAUGAACGCUAGCGGCAGGCUUAACACAUGCAAGUCGAGGGGUAUAGUUAGCUUGCUAACUAGAGACCGGCGCACGGGUGCGUAACGCGUAUGCAAUCUACCUUUUACAGAGGGAUAGCCCAGAGAAAUUUGGAUUAAUACCUCAUAGUAUCUUUGCCUGGCAUCAGGUGAUUAUUAAAGUUCCAACGGUAAAAGAUGAGCAUGCGUCCUAUUAGCUAGAUGGUAAGGUAACGGCUUACCAUGGUAACGAUAGGUAGGGGUCCUGAGAGGGAGAUCCCCCACACUGGUACUGAGACACGGACCAGACUCCUACGGGAGGCAGCAGUGAGGAAUAUUGGACAAUGGGCGCAAGCCUGAUCCAGCCAUGCCGCGUGCAGGAAGAAGCAUCUAUGGUGUGUAAACUGCUUUUGUACGGGAAGAAACACUCCCUCGUGAGGGAGCUUGACGGUACCGUAAGAAUAAGGAUCGGCUAACUCCGUGCCAGCCGCCGCCGUAAAAC
rnacentral:rRNA from 1 species